GUUUAUUAGAAUAAUCACUCUCUCUCAUUUUUGUCUGCUUCUGUUUCACUUGUACGUUGUCUCUUUUGUUUCUGUCUCUAAAAAAUUGUGUUAGCUGCAAUGGCAGUAGAAGGGAGAGAGCUUUCGCUUCUUCCUGCUAAUCUUCCGGCAUUGCUACGGUGUCGUUUUGCGGUGAUGUGCUCAACUACCUUGUUCAUUGCACUUUCUCUCUGUUCAAAGUAGUAGCUCGUGAUCCGCAGUACAAUUAAACUACGCAUUUCAGUAUCCCUCAAAGGAAGGGAGGUUAAAUCAGCUUAUGUUAUUUGGUUGUGGGCACUGUGAGAAGACUGCUACAUCUUUUCUUGAAUUGACUUCACCAGUAAAGGAAGUUAAAUUUAGUAGGCAAUGGAGAAGUAUGAAAUAUUGGAACAGAUAGGAAAGGGGGCUUUUGGCUCUGCCCUUCUUGUAAGGCAUAAGCUUGAAAAGAAGAAGUAUGUAUUAAAAAAGAUCCGUCUUGCACGCCAAACCAAUCGGACACGUCGAUCCGCACAUCAGGAGAUGGAGCUUAUAUCAAAAAUGCAAAAUCCAUUUAUUGUGGAGUACAAAGAUUCAUGGGUGGACAAGG